CCUACGGGUGGCAGCAGCAAGGAAUCUUCCGCAAUGGGCGAAAGCCUGACGGAGCGACACAGCGUGCAGGAUGAAGGUCUUCGGAUUGUAAACUGCUUUUAUCUGGGACGAUUAUGACGGUACCAGAUGAAUAAGGACUUGCUAACUACGUGCCAGCAGCAGCGGUAAUACGUAGAGUCCGAGCGUUACCCGGAAUCACUGGGCGUAAAGCGUGUGUAGGCGGUCUGCUAAGUAGGAUGUGAAAUUCCGGGGCUCAACUCCGGAGCUGUGUCCUAAACUGGUAGGCUGGAGUACUGAAGAGGUAAGCGGAAUUUGUGGUGUAGGGGUGAAAUCCGUAGAUAUCACAAGGAACACCGAUGGCGAAGGCAGCUUACUGGGCAGUUACUGACGCUGAGACACGAAAGCGUGGGGAGCGAACGGGAUUAGAUACCCGUGUAGUC
rnacentral:rRNA from 1 species